rnacentral:RNase_P_RNA from 1 species
AGGCGACCGUGCGGUUGCGGUGCGACUGGAACGUCGUAACGAGGAAAGUCCGAGCUUCACAAAGCAGGGUGCCGGCUAACGGCCGGUGAAGGUGACUUCAAGGAAAGUGCAACAGAAAAUUACCGCCCGAAAGGGUAAGGAUGAAAAGGCGAGGUAAGAGCUCACCGCUCCUUCGGUAACGCGGGAGGCUGUGUAAACCCCACUCGAAGCAAGAUAGGAAUGCGCCAACGGGGCUUUGACCGGCGUAUUUGUUGAACGUCGCUUGAAUUUGUCGGUAACGGCAAAUCUAGAUAGAUAACCGCGCAAGACAGAACUCGGCUUAUAGAUCGGCUCAA